UGGGGAAUAUUGGACAAUGGGCGAAAGCCUGAUCCAGCCAUGCCGCGUGUGUGAAGAAGGUCUUCGGAUUGUAAAGUACUUUAAGUUGGGAGGAAGGGCAGUAAGCGAAUACCUUGCUGUUUUGACGUUACCGACAGAAUAAGCACCUGCUAACUCUGUGCCAGCAGCCGCGGUAAUACAGAGGGUGCAAGCGUUAAUCGGAAUUACUGGGCGUAAAGCGCGCGUAGGUGGUUCGUUAAGUUGAAUGUGAAAGCCCCGGGCUCAACCUGGGAACUGCAUCCAAAACUGGCGAGCUAGAGUAGGGCAGAGGGUGGUGGAAUUUCCUGUGUAGCGGUGAAAUGCGUAGAUAUAGGAAGGAACACCAGUGGCGAAGGCGACCACCUGGGCUCAUACUGACACUGAGGUGCGAAAGCGUGGGGAGCAAACAGG
rnacentral:rRNA from 1 species